rnacentral:rRNA from 1 species
GUCCACGCUGUAAACGAUGGAUACUCGCUGUAGCUGGUAAUCAAUCCGGCUGUGGCUUAGCUAACGCAUUAAGUAUCCCGCCUGGGAAGUACGGUCGCAAGAUUAAAACUCAAAGGAAUUGACGGGGACCCGCACAAGCGGUGGAUUAUGUGGUUUAAUUCGAAGCAACGCGCAAAACCUUACCUGGCCUUGACAUGCCUUUGACCGGUGCAGAAAUGUACCUUCCCUUCGGGGCAGAGGACACAAGUGCUGCAUGGCUGUCGU